rnacentral:rRNA from 1 species
GAUGAACGCUGGCGGCGUGCCUAAUACAUGCAAGUCGAGCGAACAGACGAGGAGCUUGCUCCUCUGACGUUAGCGGCGGACGGGUGAGUAACACGUGGAUAACCUACCUAUAAGACUGGGAUAACUUCGGGAAACCGGAGCUAAUAUCGGAUAAUAUAUUGAACCGCAUGGUUCAAUAGUGAAAGACGGUUUUGCUGUCACUUAUAGAUGGAUCCGCGCCGCAUUAGCUAGUUGGUAAGGUAACGGCUUACCAAGGCGACGAUGCGUAGCCGACCUGAGAGGGUGAUCGGCCACACUGGAACUGAGACACGGUCCAGACUCCUACGGGAGGCAGCAGUAGGGAAUCUUCCGCAAUGGGCGAAAGCCUGACGGAGCAACGCCGCGUGAGUGAUGAAGGUCUUCGGAUCGUAAAACUCUGUUAUUAGGGAAGAACAAAUGUGUAAGUAACUAUGCACGUCUUGACGGUACCUAAUCAGAAAGCCACGGCUAACUACG